rnacentral:rRNA from 1 species
UUAUUUGAGAGUUUGAUCCUGGCUCAGGAUGAACGCUGGCGGCGUGCCUAACACAUGCAAGUUGAGCGAUUUACUUCGGUAAAGAGCGGCGGACGGGUGAGUAACGCGUGGGUAACCUACCCUGUACACACGGAUAACAUACCGAAAGGUAUGCUAAUACGGGAUAAUAUAUUUGAGAGGCAUCUCUUAAAUAUCAAAGGUGAGCCAGUACAGGAUGGACCCGCGUCUGAUUAGCUAGUUGGUAAGGUAACGGCUUACCAAGGCGACGAUC